rnacentral:rRNA from 1 species
UACGGAGGGUGCGAGCGUUGUCCGGAAUCACUGGGCGUAAAGGGCGCGUAGGCGGCCUGAUAAGUAGGGGGUGAAAUCCUGCGGCUUAACCGCAGGGCUGCCUUCUAAACUGUCAGGCUUGAGCACAGUAGAGGCAGGUGGAAUUCCCGGUGUAGCGGUGGAAUGCGUAGAGAUCGGGAAGAACAUCAGUGGCGAAGGCGGCCUGCUGGGCUGCACCUGACGCUGAGCCGCGAAAGCCAGGGGAGCGAACGGG